rnacentral:misc_RNA from 1 species
AAAAUCCCCAGCAAUGGACUCUUCUAUGGCAAAACAAAAGAUGGCUGUUCGGAGCAUAUCUGAGUCAGUGUAUGUAGGAAUGUGUCUCAAAAUGGGAACCCCACAACAGGUGGCUUCAAGGAGAGAUAUAGUGGACAUAAAGGAGAUGUUGGAAAACAACGAGAUGAUGAAAAAUCCGUCCAGAGUGAUGCUGAGUGGGAGUCACAGAGAAGGAUUUAGAUUGCAUGGGUCAGACCAAGACACGAUGUAUUGGCGAAAUGACCACCGAGUGAUCUGGGACUUCUCUCAGGUACAGUUUUACAACACACAAGAAAACGCUGUUAUUCUCUGUGACAGUUCUGAGAGUCCACCAGGAUUUACUUUACUAUGGUUACCAAUGGAAAGAGCGAUCAGUGAAGUGUUAUCUGCUUGUGUAAGGAUGCAUGGAGGGCUCUAUAUAUCAAGUUUAAAGUAUAGAGAGGUCAUGAAAUCUCUUAUCGGACUUAGUUCUAAAACAAUCCAUGGACCAUGUAGUAGUGGAUUAUAUGAUGGUGUGUUAGAAUACGAUGAAGCCCAUUGCUUUGUUAUGAUUUCUGGCCUCCUUCUGCCUCCUCGUGGAUAGACAGGUGUCAAUUGUGGCCACCACCUCAUGUUGUCAAUGACAUCGUCAGAAAUGGAUGUCACUUUGUAGCAAUUGGACACAAACUAGGAAAUCAUCUAGACAACGAAUGGAGAGUUUCAUUUUCGCAGGCGGAAUACAAACUUGUGUGUUCGAUGAAUCACACACAAUUCUUAACGUAUGGAUUGCUGAAAUUGUUCCUAAAGGAAAUAAUUAACAAAGGUUUGAGAGAUGAGGAUAAACUACUCUGCUCGUAUCAUAUGAAAACGACUGUUUUCUGGGCGAUUCAACAAAAUACACAACCUCACUGGCGUCCACAAAAUAUCCUGGGCGGUUUCUGGGUCUGCUUUAAACUUCUUCUUAAAUGGGUGUACGAGGGAGUGUGUCCGAACUUUUUUAUCCCAGAAAACAACAUGUUUCUGAGCAAUAUCUAUGGUGAAGCACAGAAGACAUUAUUCACAAGACUAUAUAGAUUGUAUAAGACGGGCAUAACAUUACUGCUACACAGUCCCUCCAUCAGUUCCUACAUCACUAAUGUUCUGUGUAAUCCACGACUUACAAUUUGUACUGAUGAACUCAUUCUGGUGUCUGAAGUUGAACUUGAUAAAGAUAUUUUCGGAGAGAUAUAUGAAAAUGAUAUAAUAGGCACAUUGGACAUACAUACAUGUGAAAAAUAUCUACAUGCGGUAGAACAGUUGUUAAGUUUACCGCUGACACAGUAUCACAUUGUCAUGUUGCAGAAACUUACGGCCAGCAUAUUUCAGCAUUCUGCAUUAUUUAUAUUACACAACAUGUACAGUUACACAGGUUCCAACAAACAGUUGUAUAUUGUAGACAAGCUAUCCUGUCAUAUGCUGAAAUUAACAGCUAAGUUUGGGUAUGUGUCUGACAUGUUAUACAUUGCAAUGUAUUAUUACAAGACAUUUAGAUAUAGGGAAGCAAUAUCUGUUAUAGAUUUAACAAAAGUUAAGUUAGCACGGCCAUACCUGAUGUAUUGGAGUCAUGUAGACAGAGAGAGAUAUACUGAGGCUGUAGGAGGACAGUCCUUGUCUACAAAGAUGAGACAAGCCGUAGCACAAGAUAUCUGUCUUAACAAUAGCAUCUUUUAUAUCAAUGAAUUAAUGCAAGAACAACAGUGUAGUAAACAGAACAGUUGGCCUAAAUUAAAUAUCCCACCUUUGAUACUAUUGCACAUGUUAGACUUUUUGUGCUCUAGACAUGUUGACACGAUUAGAGCACAGAGAGCUUUAGAUGAUCUACAGGUCCUAGUCCACCAUGAUCAGGGACAGUUAGUACCUGCAUACCUCAGAGACAUCUCCUGGGAGAUCCUGGGGAUCUGUCAACAGAUAUCAGGGAACCUCCAUGCUGCCCUGUACUCAUACCAACAGUCACUCAGACAAUAUCCAAUCCAUAAAAUACAAACUGCUACCAGACAGAGAAUUCAGGAUCUACAUUUAUGAACUUAAUGACAAGCAUGUAUGAAAGUAUUGCCUAUCACAUACACACUGACAUUGACAAUUGCGUUUGUUCUGUUUGGUGUGUAGGGGAGGGGCUGCCCUUUUGAUGUGUAUAACCAUGAAGAUGUGUGUAUAUUACAUUAAAACUUUAUACUCAGUAUCCCAAUUUUUAAAUAAAAAUUCAUUAUUACAAUAUGUACAUGUCAUGAUUAUUUUCAAAUUUCAAAUUAAACACAAUUAAUCAAAUGAAUGUCUCAAUUUCAAGUACAGUAAGCUGCCUAAUUUUUUGCUCUGUAAGUUUACAAGUAUUGGUCAGGUGCAUCUAUCAGUCUUGAAUGUAUGUCUCUUCUCAGUUUGUUCUUGAUAUUCUCUUUUUUCUUAUACAUGUAUAUAUUCAAGACAGUAAGUUGAGCGUCUUUUAAGUGAUGCACUAUCAAAUGCAAUUUUUUAAUAAAUUCUUAAAGUGUACCAUAAAAUGAUCAACUAUCAACUGCAAUUUGAUGAUAAAUAUAUGUCGGGAGCUAAAAAAAUGAUUAAUUAAGAACAUGAACUAUAUACCAAUUUUUUCAUAAGUUAUGAGUUAUGAAAAAUGUACAAAAUAAAAAAAAAACGUUUUUAUCUCACUUUUAAUGCUUCUCUUUACUGGACUGGAUUUUUGAUGCGUUUUGCAUUUAUAGGGUAAUACAUGUAUAUUGUCUGUGAGAAAUACCAUGUAACGUAAAAUCAAUUGAUUAAAAGAAUGAUUUUUU